GGGGUGUCUACAAAGGCUUCCGGCAGCUCAGAGUUCAGCCUGAGCAAACUCUUGCUCAUUCAUUCACUCAUUCAUUCAGCCAAGGCCGACUAGUGUCAAGCGUUGUUCUAGCCGCUGGGACACAGCAGUGAACAAAACUGAAAAAACAAGCCUGCGGCCUAGGGGAGGGGAGACAAUGAACGACAUAAAUGAGAAGGCUGGCGUGUGUGAUGGUGACGAGUGCUAGGGAAGAGAGAAGGCAGGUGAGGAAGAGGGAGUGUUCCAGGAAGGUUGCAAGUUUAGACAACGUGGCCAGGGUGGGCCUAGUCAUACAAAACAAUCGCUAAACCUGACGACAGUGAUGGAGGAAGCAUGGGGACCUUGGAGGAAAAGCCAGCACCUGCCAAGGCCCCGAAGCAGGAACAUGGUGUUUCUGGAAGAGACACACAGCGGAGAAGAGAAGGCCACGUGAAGGCUGAGGCAGGGAUCGGCGUGGUGCUGCCACCCGCGGGGGAACGCCAGGAACGAGAAGAGGCAAAGAAGGACCCUCCUAGGCAGCGGGGUCCUGUUGACACCUCGACUUCAGACUUCUGGUCUCCAGGGCUGUGAGAGGAGACUUUUCAAGCCACCCAGUUUGUGGUCAUUUGCUAUGACUGCCCUGGGAAACUGAUCCUGAUGCGGAGCCCUUGGAAGCUCUUGAGCGGAGGAGGGACAUGCUGUCCUGGGCUUACUCCUGGCUGUGUAGGAAAGUCUGAGCCGGGCAGAGACAGAGCGGCCAGGGAGUCACUGCGGUGAUGCAGAGGCCGGUGUGUUGGAGUGGGAAGAGGCUGUCACACUGAGAUGGUCUCUGGGCAGAGAAACUGGAUGGGGAAGGCCUGAGCUUCAGAAACAGCCCCUUCCCCAGCUUCAAGGUGGCCGUGCUCUGUUCUGAAAGAUGUCUGAUCUUUCCCGCCAAAGAAAUAAAAACAUUAUCCAAAAGCCUCUUAAAUGUGAUGUGUGUGGAUUGUGAAGACAUUUUGAGAACUGGCCUCAGACCCCCUCAAAGGGCAGGACGGUGCAGGCUCCUUGGAGGAGGAGGUGCCUUGAGAGCCUGUGAGUCCACACACAUGGAUUUAGCCACUUACAUCUCGCCAUGAGAUGUAAGCUCGGAGCCUGUGGCUGGGCC